CACAGAGCAUGGCAGUAUACACAAAUCGCUACUAAUACAGCCUUAAUCAACUUGUCCUGCAGUGGUAUCCCUCACACGCGGACGCUUGUACUCAGUGCUGGAUCUUGGCGAUCUACGAUGACGUCACACACCCAGCAAAUCCCUGUAGUCCGCUCCAAAGUCCCAAUCAAACGGAACAG